GACGAACGCUGGCGGCGUGCUUAACACAUGCAAGUCGAACGGAAAGGCCCUGCUUGCAGGGUACUCGAGUGGCGAACGGGUGAGUAACACGUGGGUGAUCUGCCCUGCACUUCGGGAUAAGCCUGGGAAACUGGGUCUAAUACCGGAUAGGAGCCAUUUUUAGUGUGAUGGUUGGAAAGUUUUUUCGGUGUAGGAUGAGCUCGCGGCCUAUCAGCUUGUUGGUGGGGGAAUGGCCUACCAAGGCGGCGACGGGUAGCCGGCCUGAGAGGGUGGACGGCCACAUUGGGACUGAGAUACGGCCCAGACUCCUACGGGAGGCAGCAGUGGGGAAUAUUGCACAUUGGGCGCAAGCCUGAUGCAGCGACGCCGCGUGGGGGAUGACGGCCUUCGGGUUGUAAAAUCCUUUCGCUAGGGACGAAGCUUUUUGUGACGGUACCUAGAUAAGAAGCACCGGCUAACUACGUG
rnacentral:rRNA from 1 species